GAUGAACGCUGGCGGCGUGCUUAACACAUGCAAGUCGAACGGUCAAGCCGGGGCUUUCUCUGCUGGAUCAUUGGCGAACGGGUGAGUAUCACGUGAGCAAACUGCCCCUGACUCUGGGAUAAGAGCUGGAGACAGCGUAUAAUACUGGGUACGAGCUGCGAAGGCAUCUUGAGCAGCUGGAAAGAACGGCGGUAAGGGAUGGGCUCGCGGCCUACCAGCUUCUUGGUGAGGUAACGGCUCACCAAGCGGUCGAAGGGUAGCCGGCCUGAGAGGGUGGACAGCGACCAUGCGACUGAGGGAGGGAGCAGUAGGCUACGGGACGCAACAGGGGGGAAUAUUGCGGAGUGGGGGAAAGCGUGAUGCAGCAGCGCCGCGUGCGGGACGACGUCCUUCGGGUUGUAAACCUCUGUUAGCAGGGAUGAAGCGAUAGUGACGGUACCUGCAGAAAAAGCGCCGGCUAACUACGUG
rnacentral:rRNA from 1 species